rnacentral:rRNA from 1 species
ACUCCUACGGGAGGCAGCAGUGAGGAAUAUUGGACAAUGGGCGCAAGCCUGAUCCAGCCAUGCCGCGUGCAGGAAGACUGCCCUAUGGGUUGUAAACUGCUUUUGUACGGGAAGAAACACCCCCUCGUGAGGGGCUUGACCGGUACCGUAAGAAUGAAGGAUCGGCUAACUCCGUGCCAGCAGCCGCGGUAAUACGGAGGAUCCGAGCGUUAUCCGGAAUCAUUGGGUUUAAAGGGUCCGUAGGUGGAUUGGUAAGUCAGAGGUGAAAGCCUGCAGCUCAACUGUAGAACUGCCUUUGAUACUGCUAGUCUUGAGUCGUUGUGAAAGUGGUUAGAAUAUGUAGUGUAGCGGUGAAAAUGCAUAGAUAUUACAUAGAAUACCAAUUGCGAAGGCAGAUCACUAACAACGUACUGACACUGAUGGACG